rnacentral:rRNA from 1 species
GACGAACGCUGGCGGCGUGCUUAACACAUGCAAGUCGAACGGAAAGGCCCUGCUUUUGUGGGGUGCUCGAGUGGCGAACGGGUGAGUAACACGUGAGUAACCUGCCCUUGACUGUGGGAUAACUUCAGGAAACUGGGGCUAAUACCGGAUAGGAGCUCCGGCUGCAUGGUGGGGGGUGGAAAGUUUCGGCGGUUGGGGAUGGACUCGCGGCUUAUCAGCUUGUUGGUGGGGUAGUGGCUUACCAAGGCUUUGACGGGUAGCCGGCCUGAGAGGGUGACCGGCCACAUUGGGACUGAGAUACGGCCCAGACUCCUACGGGAGGCAGCAGUGGGGAAUAUUGCACACUGGGCGGAAGCCUGAUGCAGCAACGCCGCGUGCGGGAUGACGGCCUUCGGGUUGUAAACCGCUUUCGCCUGUGACGAAGCGUGAGUGACGGUAAUGGGUAAAGAAGCACCGGCUAACUACGUG